ACCGUCCAUUGUGCAUAAAAUAUAUUUGAUCAUGAAACUGCACUAUUUCCGUUUAACAGCGAACUCCGUUAAGGACCUUUAUUGGGCAGGUUAUCAAUUGAGAUGUAACAAUCCUUUUAUAACCAGCGGCGUCGACAUAAGAUACAGGUUUGUCUCCAGCAAAUAAGUCCAUGCAGGUCAGGUGAUUGAUGGGUGCUUUUUUCAGCAGUCAGAUAUUUGGCAGCCAUACAUGCCUGUGCCACAACACUUCCUCCACCACGCUUCACAGAAGAGGUGACAACACUUCCUCCAUCAUGCUUCAAAGAAGAGGUGCCAUAACACUUCCUCCACCAUGCUUCACAGAAGGGGUGGUAUGCUUUGGAUCAUAAGCAGUUACUCACCUUCUCAUUACUCCUCCCUUCCCAUCAUUCUUUUAAAUCCCGGAGGGUUUAUUUAUCUAGUUGCCAAGAUGUGUUGUUGAUCUGGGGAUGUUGUUUCCUGGGUAAAUGCCGACACGUACCCGGUCUCAGAAGAGGCCUAAAUCCUCACCCGCCUCAUAGAGGCCUAAACUCUAGAGGAAGAACAAGAGGCUCUCUCCCCAUUCAUGUUUUUGUUUCAUAAUUUUGAAGACAAUGAAACAUUC